rnacentral:rRNA from 1 species
GUGCCAGCAGCCGCGGUAAUACGUAGGGGGCUAGCGUUGUCCGGAAUCAUUGGGCGUAAAGAGCGCGUAGGCGGCCCGGUAAGUCUGCUGUAAAAGUCAAAGGCUUAACCUUUGAAAGUCAGUGGAUACUGCCGGGCUAGAGUCCGGAAGAGGCGAGUGGAACUCCUGGUGUAGCGGUGGAAUGCGCAGAUAUCAGGAAGAACACCAACGGCGAAGGCAGCUCGCUAGGACGGAACUGACGCUGAGGCGCGAAAGCGUGGGGAGCGAACAGGAUUAGAUACCCUGGUAGUCCACGCCGUAAACGAUGGGCACUAGGUGUGGGAGGUGUCGACUCCUCCCGUGCCGGCGCUAACGCAUUAAGUGCCCCGCCUGGGGAGUACGGCCGCAAGGCUAAA